GAUGAACGCUGGCGGCGUGCCUAAUACAUGCAAGUCGAGCGAACAGACGAGGAGCUUGCUCCUCUGACGUUAGCGGCGGAAGGGUGAGUAACACGUGGAUAACCUACCUAUAAGACUGGGAUAACUACGGGAAACCGGAGCUAAUACCGGAUAAUAUAUUGAACCGCAUGGUUCAAUAGUGAAAUACGGUUUUGCUGUCACUUAUAGAUGGAUCCGCGCCGCAUUAGCUAGUUGGUAAGGUAACGGCUUACCAAGGCAACGAUGCGUAGCCGACCUGAGAGGGUGAUCGGCCACACUGGAACUGAGACACGGUCCAGACUCCUACGGGAGGCAGCAGUAGGGAAUCUUCCGCAAUGGGCGAAAGCCUGACGGAGCAGCGCCGCGUGAGUGAUGAAGGUCUUCGGAUCGUAAAACUCUGUUAUUAGGGAAGAACAAAUGUGUAAGUAACUAUGCACGUCUUGACGGUACCUAAUCAGAAAGCCACGGCUAACUACGUG
rnacentral:rRNA from 1 species